UUUAAAAUUGCUUUACAUAUAUAAUGUAUGUAAUGUUAUUAUUAUUUCAGGGGUACUGCUUUGAGGUAGUCUUCAUUGAUGUAUGCUUGAUUUUGAAAAAAAAAAAAAAAUCCAGUAAACUAUAUGUACACUAAAUGAAUUUCAUCAACACACAAGAGCCAAUGAGUAUGCCCGAUCUUGAAAGUGUUUUGAGGACACUGUGAUGUAUACGAGUUAAAGAUGAACUCCUGUCGGAUUUGUUAACGGCUGUUUGAUGAUCAUACAAAGACAGUUAAAGGCAA